AACCCUUUGUUGUCCGACUCUGUUGCCUCCGGGGCGACCCUGCCUUCGGGCGGGGGCUCCGGGUGGACACUUCAAACUCUUGCGUAACUUUGCAGUCUGAGUAAACUUAAUUAAUAAAUUAAAACUUUUAACAACGGAUCUCUUGGUUCUGGCAUCGAUGAAGAACGCAGCGAAAUGCGAUAAGUAAUGUGAAUUGCAGAAUUCAGUGAAUCAUCGAAUCUUUGAACGCACAUUGCGCCCCCUGGUAUUCCGGGGGGCAUGCCUGUUCGAGCGUCAUUUCACCACUCAAGCCUCGCUUGGUAUUGGGCAUCGCGGUCCGCCGCGUGCCUCAAAUCGACCGGCUGGGUCUUCUGUCCCCUAAGCGUUGUGGAAACUAUUCGCUAAAGGGUGUUCGGGAGGCUACGCCGUAAAACAACCCCAUUUCUAAGGUUGACCUCGGAUCAGGUAGGGAUACCCGCUGAACUUAAGC
rnacentral:rRNA from 1 species